ACCUCAGCGGGAAGCUCUGACACGCGGCCCACAUUCCGGCCGCCGGGACCGCGCCGAGCCACUGGCGAGACCGACCCGCCGAGGG
rnacentral:ncRNA from 1 species